GACGAACGCUGGCGGCGUGGAUUAGGCAUGCAAGUCGAACGUGAAAGGGGCUUCGGCCCUGAGUAAAGUGGCAAACGGGUGAGUAACGCGUGGAGAACCUGCCCGGAAGCGGGGGAUAACACCUCUAACGAGGUGCUAAUACCGCAUGUGUCUGCGUGAGCGCAUGCUCGCGCAGGUAAACGUGGCCUCUGCUCGCAAGCUACGGCUUCCGGAUGGCUCUGCGCUCAUUAGCUAGUUGGUGGGGUAACGGCUCACCAAGGCGACGAUGGGGUAGCUGGUCUGAGAGGAUGGUCAGCCACACUGGGACUGAGAUACGGCCCAGACUCCUACGGGAGGCAGCAGUCGANAGGCUUCCGCAAUGGGGAAACCCUGACGGAGCGACG
rnacentral:rRNA from 1 species